UUCUCUCUCUCUCUCUCUCUCUCUCUCUCUCUCUGUGGCCAAUUGUCAUUACCUUUCAAUUGAUAUCUGCGUAAUCUGCCGACCUCGCAGGUUUUAGUAAUUUUCGCUGACAAUCGGGGGAAUUUGAAGCCGCACGGAUCAUGAUUCUGCAGAGACGACAGGAUAUGAUCGAGAUCUUGAAGCCCCUUUGAUCGGUGGAGGCUCUUUUUCGUUCUGGGUCAUCAUUACUCGCUCCUCUACCAUUAGGGUUUGCUUUUGGGGGUGAAAAAGAAGGAGAAGAAGCAAGAUCAAUUUGUAUUCAGUUGCUUAGUGAUAGGAAAGCAAUCUCGGGUUUAUAUUACCUUGUUGGUGUUUUCUCUUCCUGCUGUGGGUUUCUUUUUAAAGUUGCAAUUUUUUUGUAGCUCCGGCCUCAAAUUCUAAGUGGAUUCUUCCUCCACGCUCUGUACAGUGACGACUAGUUCAUUGCGAUUAUCUUUUUCUUGCUUGUUAAGUUCCUUUUGAUUUCCCUGUGGGGAAAUUGGUAAUAUAGUCUAAAUUGUGCUAACAGUUCCCUGUCACUCCGUGAAAGACUCUGAACAAAGAAGGAAAGGAAAAAAAAAUUAAAGAGAAAAAAGAACACAAAAAAGUGAGUAUUUGAGGAAAAAAAGUUUGUAGCCAAUUUCUAAAUGGGGAGUCCCUUAUUAAGCAAUCGUAGUAGUGGCCAGCGCUUGGGUAUCACAGAACCCAUUUCUUUGAGUGGACCAACAGAGGAUGAUGUGAUAAAGACCCACGAGCUGGAAAAGUUUUUGCAAGAUGCUGGAUUGUAUGAGAGCCAAGAGGAGGCUGUGACUAGAGAGGAAGUGCUUGGCAGGCUGGACCAGAUUGUGAAGAUAUGGGUCAAAUCAAUAAGUCGUGCAAAGGGGCUGAAUGAGCAACUUGUUCAAGAAGCGAAUGCAAAAAUAUUUACGUUUGGUUCUUAUCGGCUUGGGGUGCAUGGCCCUGGUGCAGAUAUAGACACACUAUGCGUGGGACCUAGACAUGCAACGAGAGAAGAAGAUUUCUUUGGUGAGCUACAUAGAAUGCUGUCUGAGAUGAGCGAAGUCUCAGAACUGCACCCUGUACCUGAUGCUCAUGUUCCUGUGAUGAGAUUCAAAUUUAGUGGUGUUUCGAUAGAUCUUCUAUAUGCAAAGUUGUCUCUUUGGGUUAUCCCUGAAGACUUGGAUAUUUCGCAAGAUUCAAUUUUACAGAAUGCAGAUGACCAGACAGUUCGUAGUCUUAAUGGAUGUAGAGUAACUGACCAGAUUCUGCGACUGGUUCCUAAUAUACAGAAUUUCCGUACGACAUUGAGAUGCAUGAGGUUUUGGGCAAAGCGCCGUGGAGUCUAUUCCAAUGUUGCGGGCUUUCUUGGUGGUAUAAAUUGGGCUCUGCUUGUUGCUCGCAUAUGCCAGCUAUAUCCUAAUGCUUUACCCAAUAUGUUGGUCUCCCGAUUCUUCAGGGUCUAUACACAGUGGCGCUGGCCAAACCCUGUCAUGCUGUGUGAUAUUGAAGAAGGAUCUCUUGGGCUGCAGAUCUGGGAUCCUAGAAGAAAUCCAAAGGACAGGUUCCAUUUGAUGCCGAUAAUUACUCCUGCAUACCCUUGCAUGAAUUCUAGCUAUAAUGUCUCUGCCAGUACUCUGCGAAUUUUGUCAGAAGAGUUCCAAAGGGGGAGUGAUAUAUGUGAGGCUAUGGAGUCUAGCAGGGCUGAGUGGGAUACACUCUUUGAGCCUUUUGCCUUUUUUGAAGCAUACAAGAAUUAUCUGCAAAUAGAUAUCUCUGCGGAAAAUGCUGAUGAUCUAAGAAAGUGGAAAGGUUGGGUUGAGUCUCGCCUACGUCAGCUCACAUUGAAGAUUGAGAGGCACACUUAUAACAUGCUUCAGUGCCACCCCCACCCGGGUGAUUUUUCAGACAAGUCCAGACCUUUUCAUCACAGUUAUUUUAUGGGUCUGCAACGAAAACAGGGGGUUCUAGUGAAUGAAGGUGAACAGUUUGACAUUAGGUUAACUGUUGAGGAAUUUAAGCAUUCUGUCAAUUUGUACACAUUAUGGAAACCUGGGAUGGAGAUUUAUGUAUGUCAUGUACGGCGUAAGAAUAUCCCUAAGUUCGUCUUUCCUGGUGGUGUUCGACCUCCCCGUCCAUCAAAAGCUACUUGGGAUUCUAGGCGGGCCAUGGAAUUGAAAGCUGCUAGUAGUAGUCAAGUAGAUAAGUCUCCUGAAGGACAGGGUACUCCUGAUGAAAUGGACGAAGGAAGGAAGAGAAAGCGAGAGGAGGAGGUAGAGUCAAACUUAAAAAGUGCGAGAAUUGUGGCUGCUUUACCUUCAUCUACUGGAGAAGCUCAAGAAAGUGUCCUUGCUUCUGUUGCGACUAAUGGAGCUGGGGAUAUAGGGCAUGACGUAGUUCAAAAUCACAUAACAGGUGGCUCUGCCUAUGGGAAACCUUCAGGUUCUGUUGCUGAUGAAUCAAGUUCAAGGGAAGCAGAGAAUCUAGCAAUUGAAAAGAUCACAUCUGUAUCAUACGUUGCCUGCCCAGAUUUUUCCAAAGAACUUGAUGAACUUGAAGAUGACGUCCAACAGAAAGACAAAUAUGAAGAUACAGAUAAAAGUGGGAAAAGCCCACCAAUGGUGUCUUUGACAUCAAAUGUGGCAGCAACAGCUGUAAUGUCUAGCAAUGGAAUAAGUACGUCUGGUAGUUUCUACACAAGUGGGGAUAUAGAGGAGCUCGAGGCAAAUAAGCUGGAAAUCUAUCUCAGAUACUGCCCGUAUCUUAUGUCUUCUCUUUGUUGUUUGCUCUUUUCUGCCCAAGCCUGCUGAACUUAUGGCACCGCCAUCGAUUGUGAAUCCACCGGCGCCUCCGACACAACGGAAACCGCUCAUUAGAUUGAGCUUAACAUCCCUGGGAAAAGCUAAGGGAAAAGGCACUUGAGGAAUUCAAGCAUCAGUUGGACAAAGCAAAGCUUGCAUGGUAAAGCGGCUCAAACUGUCGCUUGGACAAAGCUGCACCAGUUCCAAAUCAUUGGCUUAGCCUUCCUGUGUUGAAAAACAAACUGAAAAUUUUGCUCCCUUGUAUUGCUUAAUAGUUAUAAAGAGCUCAUAAUUUGUCAAAAGCCUCCCUAGAAUAAUUGACAUUGUGUCUUGUACAUUAAUUUGUAACUUCCUCCUGAGGACCUUUCUUUUUCAUCCAGUAAUGGACAAGGAGAUUAUUAAAGCCUGGCUCAGCGCUUUGCUGGAGCUUUUCAUUACU